UACAGAGGGUGCGAGCGUUGUCCGGAAUCACUGGGCGUAAAGGGUGCGUAGGCGGGUCUUUUAAGUCAGGGGUGAAAUCCUGGAGCUCAACUCCAGAACUGCCUUUGAUACUGAGGAUCUUGAGUUCGGGAGAGGUGAGUGGAACUGCGAGUGUAGAGGUGAAAUUCGUAGAUAUUCGCAAGAACACCAGUGGCGAAGGCGGCUCACUGGCCCGAUACUGACGCUGAGGUGCGAAAGCGUGGGGAGCAAACAGG
rnacentral:rRNA from 1 species